rnacentral:rRNA from 1 species
CUUAACACAUGCAAGUCGAGGGGCAGCAUGGUCUUAGCUUGCUAAGGCCGAUGGCGACCGGCGGACGGGUGAGUAACGCGUGGGUAACCUGCCUUGUACUGGGGGACAACAGUUAGAAAUGACUGCUAAUACCGCAUAAGCGCACAGUACCGCAUGAUACAGUGUGAAAAACUCCGGUGGUACAAGAUGGACCCGCGUCUGAUUAGCUAGUUGGUAAGGUAACGGCUUACCAAGGCGACGAUCAGUAGCCGACCUGAGAGGGUGACCGGCCACAUUGGGACUGAGACACGGCCCAAACUCCUACGGGAGGCAGCAGUGGGGAAUAUUGCACAAUGGGCGAAAGCCUGAUGCAGCGACGCCGCGUGAGUGAAGAAGUAUUUCGGUAUGUAAAGCUCUAUCAGCAGGGAAGAAAAUGACGGUACCUGACUAAGAAGCCCCGGCUAACUACGUGCCAGCAGCCGCGGUAAUACGUAGGGGGCAAGCGUUAUCCGGAUUUAUUGGGUUUAAAGGGAGCGUAGAUGGAUAUUUAAGUCAGUUGUGAAAGUUUGCGGCUCAACCGUAAAAUUGCAGUUGAUACUGGAUAUCUUGAGUGCAGUUGAGGCAGGCGGAAUUCGUGGUGUAGCGGUGAAAUGCUUAGAUAUCACGAAGAACUCCGAUUGCGAAGGCAGCCUGCUAAGCUGCAACUGACAUUGAGGCUCGAAAGUGUGGGUAUCAAACAGGAUUAGAUACCCUGGUAGUCCACACGGUAAACGAUGAAUACUCGCUGUUUGCGAUAUACUGCAAGCGGCCAAGCGAAAGCGUUAAGUAUUCCACCUGGGGAGUACGCCGGCAACGGUGAAACUCAAAGGAAUUGACGGGGACCCGCACAAGCGGUGGAGCAUGUGGUUUAAUUCGAAGCAACGCGAAGAACCUUACCAAGUCUUGACAUCCUCUUGACCGGCGUGUAACGGCGCCUUCCCUUCGGGGCAGGAGAGACAGGUGGUGCAUGGUUGUCGUCAGCUCGUGUCGUGAGAUGUUGGGUUAAGUCCCGCAACGAGCGCAACCCUUAUCCUUAGUAGCCAGCAGGUAAAGCUGGGCACUCUAGGGAGACUGCCAGGGAUAACCUGGAGGAAGGUGGGGAUGACGUCAAAUCAUCAUGCCCCUUAUGAUUUGGGCUACACACGUGCUACAAUGGCGUAAACAAAGGGAAGCAAGACAGUGAUGUGGAGCAAAUCCCAAAAAUAACGUCCCAGUUCGGACUGUAGUCUGCAACCCGACUACACGAAGCUGGAAUCGCUAGUAAUCGCGAAUCAGAAUGUCGCGGUGAAUACGUUCCCGGGUCUUGUACACACCGCCCGUCACACCAUGGGAGUCAGCAACGCCCGAAGUCAGUGACCCAACUCGCAAGAGAGGGAGCUGCCGAAGGCGGGGCAGGUAACUGGGGUG